GAGACCUGUACUUAUAAUUGCCAACGAGGUCUUUAGACUGAUCGGGCACAUUAUGAGAACUGCCUUGGAAACAAGGAGGAAGGUGCAGGCAACGGUAGGUCUGUAUGCCCCGAAUCCUCUGGGCUACACGCGCGCAACAAUGGUAUGGACAAUGGGAUGCAACUCCGUAAGGAGAAGCUAAACCUCUAAACCAUAUCCCAGUCCAGAUUGUGGGUUGUAACUCACCCACAUGACGUUGGAAUCCCUAGUAACCAGACGUCAGCAUCGUCCGGUGAAUAU
rnacentral:rRNA from 1 species